AUCUAUUCUUAUAUAUGUGAGAGUGUGUGUGUGUGUGUGUGUGUGUGUGUGUGUAUACACACUUGUAUUGUUUGCAGUGCAGUAUAGAAUAGGCACUUUGAAACCCUCUUUUUUUUCCACCAGAGAUUAUGGAAAUAAACUCUGGCUUUCUGAUUUAAUAUGCAAAGUUUAGUUUGGUGAAGUUUAGCCCUGAAAUUCUGCAGAUGUCCGUCAAUAGUGAGGGGUUCUGUCGUAUGGACUUACAUAGCUUUUGCAAAUAAGUGUAUUUUGAAAUUGUUCAACAGCGAUGUUUAAGUUAUUGAGGGCUGAGACUUAGUCCUGUCUGUGUGUAGAAGUUUUGCUGUUUUUCAUUUGAAACAUAUCAAAGUUUGAAACCUAAAAAUAUUAAAACAGAUGAAAACAAAUGCUGUGGGUAGCAUUUUCCUAUUUUGCACACCAUAUGUGUAAACCAAGAAUGAGCAGAGGUCUCACCAGUGACCUUAGGUUGGCUCUCAGAGCAACCUGCCCCUGGAUGGAGGACUCCAAGCGGUAGGGAAAGACUGGGCCAGUUCAGAGAGCAGAGGGAUCAGGACCACCAUGUUCGCUGUCUCCUCCUGGGACUCCCUCAAAGGCUGGCCAUGAACUUAUCAUGCUCAUUAGAAGCUGGCGAAGUGGGAUGUGCUAUCUCAAGAGAUAAUGACUAUAAAAGAUUUCUCUGCCCGUUUUAAGAAUGGAGAAAGAAGGCCCUGUUCACUUCCAGGAGUUAUGCUACAAAGACCGUUCUCAGAUGGAAACACCCCUGCAGCAAACACACCCCUCCUGUGCCCUGGGCACUCGGGUGGGUGCUGGGCGAGUGGAGCUGAGUGAAACUGAAACCUGCUCUUCAGAAGAACAAAGUAGAUAGAUGCUUAGAGUGUGAUACGUGUAAAGGAAACACGUCAUUAUGUAAAGAAGUGUUUUCAGCCAGAUGUCACCAAGCAAGUUGCACAUAAUCAAGGCCUGGCAGGUGAAGAUGUUUGAAUAUUUGGGUUACUGCUUCCUAUGGUUAUAACUUGAGUUGAGAACAUAAUACAGUACAGGAAGUGUGUUUUUAAAAAUAAGUCCUAAUUGGACUUUUAAGAAAAUCUGUCUUAAUUGGACACUAUUUACUUACAAAUGCUUUAUCAAUACAUUGCUCAAAUCAAAUUUUUAAAGGCGAAUCGAUUACAUCAGUCUGAUUAGAAAUGAUAGAAGAAAAUGGAGUUGGCUUUGAAAUCCAGGAAACUUACUCGGUAUUUCCCAUCCACUUUUCUUAAGAUUUAAUGAGAUGAUUUUAAAAGCAUUUUUCAACCCCAUGAUGAGUAUCAAGUACAGAAUACCCUCAUGUAUUUGACAAAAUAAUUUGAAAAUUAGGUUGAAAUAGAUCUUUUUUCCUUAUGAAAAAAUGUUGGCAUUUUAAACAGACAAAAAGGCAAAUACUUACCUAUUGAAAAGAGCAAACUGUUUCCAACAGCCAUGAAAUAAUUUACAUCUGUGUAUGUGUUGUAAGUAGAAGCUAACAUUGAUUGCAUUAAUUUAGUUACUGUAUUCAUUUUAUCCAACUCAGUGGAAAUAUACUGUCACUGUUUAUUCAUUCUUUUAUAUUAAAAUACCUCUGACUUAAUAAGACUAUCAUUACUAUAUUAUCAGUAUGUACUUACAAAAUAUUACGUCACUGUUUUUAACAUUCUUUUUUAAAAAAUGUAUGUAACCUGUAUUAAUAAACCUGAAAGUCUGCUUGG